UACGAGGGGGGCGAGCGUUGUUCGGAAUUAUUGGGCGUAAAGGGUGCGUAGGCGGGUCUUUAAGUCAGGGGGGAAAUCCUGGAGCUCAACUCCAGAACUGCCUUUGAUACUGAGGAUCUUGAGUUCGGAAGAGGUGAGUGGAACUCCUAGUGUAGAGGUGGAAUUCGUAGAUAUUAGGAAGAACACCAGUGUCGAAGGCGACUCACUGGUCCGGUACUGACGCUGAGGUGCGAAAGCGUGGGGAGCAAACAGG
rnacentral:rRNA from 1 species